rnacentral:rRNA from 1 species
UACGGAGGAUGCGAGCGUUAUCCGGAUUUAUUGGGUUUAAAGGGUGCGUAGGCGGUUAUUCAAGUCUGUGGUGAAAAGUCUGAGCUUAACUUAGAUCGUGCCAUGGAAACUGAUUAUCUUGAAUGAGGUUGCCGUUGGCGGAAUGUGUAGUGUAGCGGUGAAAUGCUUAGAUAUUACACAGAACACCGAUUGCGAAGGCAGCUGACGAAACCUUGAUUGACGCUGAUGCACGAAAGUGCGGGUAUCGAAC